rnacentral:rRNA from 1 species
GACAUAGGUGGCGAACGUUAUCCGGAUUUAUUGGGCGUAAAGCGCGUGUAGGCGGCUCGGUAAGUCUGCUGUGAAAGUCCAAGGCUCAACCUUGGAAAGCCGGUGGAUACUGUCGAGCUCGAGUCCGGAAGAGGCGAGUGGAAUUCCUGGUGUAGCGGUGAAAUGCGCAGAUAUCAGGAGGAACACCAAUGGCGAAGGCAGCUCGCUGGGACGGUACUGACGCUGAGACGCGAAAGCGUGGGGAGCAAACAGG